rnacentral:rRNA from 1 species
CCCUUAGAUGUUCUGGGCCGCACGCGCGCUACACUGACGGAGCCAACGAGUCUUUUCCUUGUCCGGAAGGACUGGGUAAUCUUGUGAAACUUCGUCGUGCUGGGGAUAGAGCAUUGCAAUUAUUGCUCUUCAACGAGGAAUUCCUAGUAAGCGUGAGUCAUCAGCUCGCGUUGAUUACGUCCCUGCCCUUUGUACACACCGCCCGUCGCUCCUACCGAUUGAGUGCUCAGGUGAAUAAUUCGGACUGCAGCAAUGUUUGGAUCCCGAACGUUGCAGCGGAAAGUUUAGUGAACCUUAUCACUUAGAGGAAGGAGAAGUCGUAACA